rnacentral:lncRNA from 1 species
GCAAAACUAACGACUUCCAGUUAUAUACCCGUAGCUUGUUAUACUUAUAUCUGAGAGUUUUAAAUUUCUUUAUUAUCUAUAUUUUUAAUUUUUAUAAAGGUUAGUACAUAUUGCACCACAAUGGUGAUCGUACCGGCCGUCCAUAAUAUUUUCUUUGAAAAGCUGAAAUUUCCGUUGAUGGAUAAAAGACCAACCAGGACAAAAUAUUUA